UACGAAGGGGGCUAGCGUUGUUCGGAAUUACUGGGCGUAAAGCGCACGUAGGCGGAUCGAUCAGUCAGGGGUGAAAUCCCAGAGCUCAACUCUGGAACUGCCUUUGAUACUGUCGAUCUAGAGUAUGGAAGAGGUGAGUGGAAUUCCGAGUGUAGAGGUGAAAUUCGUAGAUAUUAGGAAGAACACCGGUGGCGAAGGCGGCCCACUGGUCCGGUACUGACGCUGAGGUGCGAAAGCGUGGGGAGCAAACAGG
rnacentral:rRNA from 1 species